rfam:Coprococcus catus GD/7 draft genome.
AGGGGUAUAGUUUAAUGGUAGAGUAUCGGUCUCCAAAACCGCUGGUCCGGGUUCGAAUCCUGGUACCCCUG